GGAAAGCUGAGUAUCUUGGCUAUUGAUCUGUGCCUUAAAAUCUUUGGUGUUACUUACUACCGUUGACGGUCUUGUAGCCAGCGAGAUGAGCUUCCAGGGAUAUGCAGUUGACCUGGGUGGGACAAAGCAAGGCCUAGAAUAUUUGAUGCGUAAUGCGAGCUAUUGCCACCUGGCUCAGGGAUGAGACGCACGGAGUACGCCACAUUAGAUUGUAAACCGAUGAAUCGCUUUAAUUUCAACACUUUAGCAUAAAAGAUGGCUUCUCGGGGGGGUGUAAAAACUAAGAAUAUUGAAAAGGGAGCUAAAAAGGAGGCAGCUAUGAAUAAGCAUACCGGCAUAGAAGCUUUGGUCGACUCGGAUCAGGGAGCGAUUUGGACAACGAGAUUUAGACUCGGCCAACGACGAUAGUUUUCUAGAAGGAUUGGAUCCACUUUUAGAUCUAGGAUUUGGAUGAUGACGUUUGGGAGCCACCCCUCCCCAGCAAGCGCCCCCGGUCAAGGUCUUCACCCCCCACUGCUAUGACAAUCACCCCAUCUGAUGGUUCUACAUCCACUUUUCAUAGACCUCUUGAAAAGAAAAUAGGGGCUUGUGGCACCAUUCGUCCUAACAUAAUCGGUUUCCCCAGGACCAAGGUAAACAACAUGACAAAGACAGCGGAGAGGGGGACCAUAUGUUGUAUCAGGACGAACAAGCU